GAUGAACGCUGGCGGCGUGCCUAUCCCUGCACGUCGAGCGCACGGACGAGAAGCUUGCUUCUCUGAUGUUAGCGGCGGACGGGUGAGUAACACGUGGAUAACCUACCUAUAAGACUGGGAUAACUUCGGGAAACCGGAGCUAAUACCGGAUAAUAUUUUGAACCGCAUGGUUCAAAAGUGAAAGACGGUCUUGCUGUCACUUAUAGAUGGAUCCGCGCUGCAUUAGCUAGUUGGUAAGGUAACGGCUUACCAAGGCAACGAUGCAUAGCCGACCUGAGAGGGUGAUCGGCCACACUGGAACUGAGACACGGUCCAGACUCCUACGGGAGGCAGCAGUAGGGAAUCUUCCGCAAUGGGCGAAAGCCUGACGGAGCAACGCCGCGUGAGUGAUGAAGGUCUUCGGAUCGUAAAACUCUGUUAUUAGGGAAGAACAUAUGUGUAAGUAACUGUGCACAUCUUGACGGUACCUAAUCAGAAAGCCACGGCUAACUACGUG
rnacentral:rRNA from 1 species